rnacentral:rRNA from 1 species
UACGAAGGGGGGCGAGCGUUGUUCGGAUUUACUGGGCGUAAAGGGCGCGCAGGCGGCGAGUUUUGUCAGGCGUGAAAGCCCCGGGCUCAACCUGGGAAUUGCGCUUGAAACGGGCUUGCUAGAGAUCGGGAGAGGAGCGUGGAAUUCCCAGUGUAGAGGUGAAAUUCGUAGAUAUUGGGAAGAACACCGGUGGCGAAGGCAGCGCUCUGGACCGAGACUGACGCUGAGGCGCGAAAGCGUGGGGAGCAAACAGG